GACGAACGCUGGCGGCGUGCUUAACACAUGCAAGUCGAACGGAAAGGCCACUUUCGUGGGGUACUCGCGUGGCGAACGGGCGAGUAACACAUGAGUAACUUGCCCUUCUCUUUGAGAUAACUUACGGCAACUGGCGCUAAUACCGGCCAGGAGAUCCUGCUGCCUGGAGGGGGCUGGAGAGUUUCGGCGGUUGGGGGUGGACUCGAGGCGUAUCCGCUUGUUGGUGGGGUAGUGGCUUACCAAGGCGUUGACGGGGAGCCGGACAGUGAGAGUGACCCGCGACACUGGGACUGAGAGACGGCCCAGGCUCCGACGGGAGGGAGAAGUGGGGAAGCCUGAACAAGGGGUGGAAGCCUGAUGCAGAAACGCCGCGGGCGGGAGGACGGUCUUCGGGUUGAAAACCGAAUUCGCUCAUGACGAAGCUUUGUGUGACGGUAGUGGGUAAAGAAGCACCGGCUAACUACGUG
rnacentral:rRNA from 1 species